UACAGAGGGGGCAAGCGUUGUUCGGAAUUACUGGGCGUAAAGGGCGCGUAGGCGGCCUUCUAAGUCGAACGUGAAAUCUCCGGGCUCAACCCGGGAACUGCGUCCGAUACUGGAAGGCUUGAAUCCGGGAGAGGGAUGCGGAAUUCCAGGUGUAGCGGUGAAAUGCGUAGAUAUCUGGAGGAACACCGGUGGCGAAGGCGGCAUCCUGGACCGGUAUUGACACUGAGGCGCGAAAGCCAGGGGAGCAAACGGG
rnacentral:rRNA from 1 species